rnacentral:SRP_RNA from 1 species
GCCGAGCUAAGUGACUCUUGCUUGUAACCCAAGUGGGGGCACCAAGGUGGUGGGACAUCGGUUCGAUCCAUUUGGCAGGACUUGAUGUUGCAAUUUGCUGGCUCGCCCGUUCCAAGUUGAGAGUUGGGCCCUGUGGUUCGGGCUUAAGCUUGGGCCGUGGCCCUUAGAGCGGAGGGCAAUGCGUGAGGCUGGUUUCACAGAGCAGCGAAAACCUCCCGCUCUCAACAGUGGAAGGAUGACGUGUCGGUGCACCGCUAGCCCAGAUUGUCUCAUGGGUUGAAACCAGUUGAACCACCACCUUU